UUUACCCGACUGCGCCAGAAGGAGGGUUAUGUUUUUCGAGUGUAUGUAUGUAUGUAUGUAUGUAUGUAUGUAUGUAUAAUUGUUUGGCACGCUCUGCAGCCUAAACGGCUUGAUGGAUUUUGACUUGAGAGGUGUCGUUGGAUUCGUAUUUACUGUGAGAGUGACACUGGAUAUAUCAAAAUAAUAAAAAAACAAAAUGGCGGAUUUUUGGAGCCAAAUUCGAAUAUUUCUCACUCUCUAGCCUGAACGACUCGAUGGAUUUCCGCUCGAUAGGGGUCGUUUGAUUCGUAUUUACUGUGAGAGUGACACUAGAUAUAUCAAAAUAAUAAAA